UCACGUCCGCCCCCAUUCUUCUUCUUCUCUCUCUGCCGAUUUUCAAUUUAGGGUUUCAUGAGAUCUAUGGUAUGAGCAAGAUCUCACCAGAUCCAAUAAUGGUGUGGUCUGUAAAAGUGGUCGAGACAAGAUCUACGCUUCAAGAUCAGUCGAUUCAACCCAAGAUUACCUACCUGGUGGUUGUGGGUGGAAGAUGGUGGCGAUGACACAAAGAUCUACCCUUUGGUUUCCAGAUCUACCGUUUGGUGGCCAGAUCUACCGUUUGAAGUUGAAGGUACUGGCCAGAUCUUAACUCAGUUUCACGGCAAAAUUUAUCUGAAUUUUCAGCUGGUGUGUUCACGUUUACGGUAAAUCUGACCAAUGGCUCAAUUGAUCUUCUGAAUUGAGAAAUUGCAACGUCUGAAAGUGGUUUGCAGUGAUUUAGGCUAGCCAUGGUUGAUCUUCUGAAUUUAGAAAUUGCAAUGUCUAAAAGAGGAAACUUUUUUGUGUGACAACACAUUAAGAGGAACGCAGCCAAGGCAAUUAGGGAGCUCAAGAAAUUUGCACAGAAGGCUAUGGGAAUGGGUACAACAUUCCAACGACUUAUUUGAUUUCUAUUUUACAUAUAAAAAAGUUUUACCCGUGGACAAUGGUGAUUGUGGUAGUAGGCGAAGACGAUUGAAGUGUAUUCAAUUCAGAUAAACAAAGCAAUACUUGAAUUAGGGCAACCUAAUGAUAGUUCAUUGAUCCAACGUAUUGAUUUUACAGAAUGAAACAACAUAACUGAAUUAAGAAUACAAAUAAGAGAUAGAAGAUGGGAAUCAGAUUACAGAAUGGAUGGGAAGAGAAGACAAUCACCGACUAACGAUAUUCAUGCCCUCUACUCUCAUUUGCUCAUCUUUAUAUAUUGAAACCGUUCAACUUGAUGGGCCUCAUGGAUUGGGCUAUCUGAAUGGGUCUGGUUAAGUCCAAUGGGUUUAUAACAAUGAGGGUGGUGUCUUCUGGCGAUUAAGCAGUCGUACAAAUGGUGGCUAGCGGCCACAACCACUCUUCGGCAUUAAAUGGUUUAAUUGAAAAGAAAAAAAAAAAGACAACUUAAAAGGAAACAUUUUAACUUCUUCAUGAGCUGAAAUUGGCAUAUUUUUUCUUUGUAGGUACCGCCAUUUUUGGUUCGCAAAAUCUUCACACAAAUAUUUUCUUUCAUCAAUGUACAAUUAUUCAACAGCCUUAUGUUGAGACGAGAGUGCUAUUCUUUCAGUAAUGGGGAAUACGUCAAGGCAUGAUUGUCGGAACUGGAACAGUGGUGCUAUAAAGCAACUGAAGAGUAUGCAGGAUCAGCUUGGGAUGAGAUCAAGCACAUAAGACAAGCUAUUGGGUUCCUGGUUAUUCAUCAGAAGCCAAAGAAGGCACUGGAUGAAAUAACUCACGAUUUGUGCCCAAUCAAUAUAGCAGAUAUUGAGCCACCACCACUUGUUUGUGAUAAUUCGGGUUUCAGUUGCUUUUUGUCACGUGCUGAAUCAUGAUCAUUCAGGUUUCAGUACACUUAUAUGGAAGUUGACCUUUGAUGGUAGGUUUGAUUUUACCAGUAUGUGUAGUGAUGUAGAUUAAAUUGUGUAAACCUCAUUCUUUUGGUAAUGCAAGACCAAAAGCUGGAAGCUUCCUGAAAUAGUUGAUUCAACUCACCUUUAAGCUCUAAGGCUGCCUGAUCCAAUGCCUGCCAGCAAGGUUAUGUGACUUAUUUAUACAAAUUCUGGGUUAGCGUUACUCGCACUUGCUUCAAGUGCGAUCCAUAAACUAUGGAAAUGGCAACAAAAUGAACGCAAUCCAUCUGGGAAGGUUUGUUGACGUUUCUGAUAAACUCACUUCAAAAUCUGUUCACUUUACAAAAGCCGCCACCUACCCUGCUAGAGUUGAAUUUGAAAUUUAUUGAGAAUCAUUUAUGGAAAAGGCGCAGUCACGGAGUACCCCAAGUGUGCUCUCAAACUGCAGACUGCUGAAUGCUCUGACGAAAAUGGCUGAUUAAAAAAGGUUGAAGCUGCAAAGAAGAAUGUUUGUUUUUCAAAACAACCCGUUAUGACUCGGACCAUCUUGACCCGGACCGGUUACGUGACCGACCUGCCUAUUUUUCCAGAUGUAAACGGGUCAAACUUAGCUCCAUUUACAUUUGGCUUUACGUUUCUUGGGGAAUUCAGAUGUAGUGGAGUCUUGCAUUAGAUGUACACACACAUCAGCAGUGCCUGUGUCUCAGUAUCAUGGAAGUAAAAUGAUUUGGUUUUUUUUUUUUUUUUUUUUUUUUUUUUUUUUUUUUUUUUUUUAAGGUUAUGUAAGAUUUGAAGCUUGUACGCUGAUUUUAAAUUUUUUUUUUCUGCAAAUAAGUGGUAGAAUGUUGUGCAUGGAAUCU